rnacentral:rRNA from 1 species
UACGUAGGGUGCAAGCGUUGUCCGGAAUUAUUGGGCGUAAAGAGCUCGUAGGCGGUUUGUCGCGUCUGCCGUGAAAGUCCGGGGCUCAACUCCGGAUCUGCGGUGGGUACGGGCAGACUAGAGUGAUGUAGGGGAGACUGGAAUUCCUGGUGUAGCGGUGAAAAUGCGCAGAUAUCAGGAGGAACACCGAUGGCGAAGGCAGGUCUCUGGGCAUUAACUGACGCUGAGGAGCGAAAGCAUGGGGAGCGAACAGG